CGCGUAGGUGGUUUGUUAAGUUGGAUGUGAAAGCCCCGGGCUCAACCUGGGAACUGCAUCCAAAACUGGCAAGCUAGAGUACGGUAGAGGGUGGUGGAAUUUCCUGUGUAGCGGUGAAAUGCGUAGAUAUAGGAAGGAACACCAGUGGCGAAGGCGGCUUUCUGGACUGUAACUGACGCUGAGGCGCGAAAGCGUGGGGAGCGAACG
rnacentral:rRNA from 1 species